AUUACGUUUAUAUAGCAUUAUGAAGUUUGUUAAAUUUUGAAUUUUUUACAGUUUUCCUAGGGUAUCUGUUGGAUACAGAUCGAUGGAAUAUGCUGUCAAGAAAAUGUGUUUUUGAUUAUUCAUGUUAUCGUUGUGUUACAUCGAGUUGUUGUCGGUUUUCUCUCUAUGUUUACCAUUGUCGCAGCCAUCUUAACGCUUCUUCUGCUAUAAGCUCUAUGGCGUUUGCGAGCCAGUAGUUUUGUAUUCGUUUUACUGUAAAAAGAAAAUAUCACCUUUGCGAUUGUCGUACCCUGUGCGCCCAGUUUAUCGCCGUUGGGUCUAUAUAUUUUCUGAGAUACAUCACAAUACCGUUGACAGUAUAUUGUACACUUUGGUCAGCUACUUGCAUUCGACUUCAAUUGAUCCUUUCAAUAUUCAACAUUAUCAUCAGCCGUUUCAUUUAGCAGAUAAGUAUAAUGCUUGUUCAUUUAUUUUUCUAAGACUCACUUGUAUAAUUUAUUAUUUGUUUAUAUCAUCGCCUUAAUGGCAUUAGUAUUAAGUGUCCCCCUAUCCACAUCGGUGAUAAUAUAAGAUUUUAUAUUUCUUGUACUAUACAUUUAAUUGUUAUAAUUAUAUCUUGUGAAAUUUAUACUACAUUCACACAUACAGUCCACUCAUCUUAUUCUUUAUCCUCGACAUAGCUAAAAACUUAAGACAAAACAAAACCACGAAACCGCGUGAAUACCACCGGGCGCUGCGUUCAGUCAGUAUCAAAUGUUAGUUCAUAUUACACUUUACAUAAACACUUAUUACGUUAUUUGCUAGUAACAGUACGCGAUUUCUUUUCCAUGAAAAUUAUUAACAUUUGAAUAAGCAUUUGUAAUUGACAUGAAAAAACGAGUAGUAGUAUAAUUAAGAUUAUUAAAAAAAAUUAUAGAAACAUUGUCUAAAACAUGUCGAGUUUUUAAUUAAAUAAGUUCAUAUAACAUAAAUUUUAACGCGAAUAAUAGUGAAUAAGUGCAUUUAUUAUCAAAUCUCCUAACAAGUAAUAUCCUAUAAUAAUGUGAUUACAAUGAUAGAAUCAGACAAAUUAAUAAUUGUUAUCACUUUUAACUUGGCUAACCAUCGAACACUCGUAGUUGACAUACGAUUAUGUUCCUAACUUUUACAAUAAAGAUUAGAGAUAAUAAUUUUUGUAUAGAGCGCGUUAAACGUUAUUAUUAUCCAUGGAAAAGAAAUCGCGUACUGUUACCAGUAAAUAACGUAAUAUGACAGUGUUUACUUUCGUUCUUUACAUAAUAUGGACUAGCAUUUGAUACAUAGGAAAAUUGUAAAAAAAAAAAUCAAAAUUUAACAAACUACAAAAUGCUGUAUAAACAUAACUACUAAAUUAAAAUAAGAAUUUUUGGUAUCAACAAUUUUCUUUAAACCUUAUUUAUUAAUGGCUAUCUUCAAAUCUUAAAAAAAAUUUUAAUAAAAAAAUUAAUUUUUAAAUUAUUUUUUGUAAUUGCGAAAACAAAAACGUAUCAACACUAGCGCGGUCAAUGACAGAAGGAAUGAAGAAGAGCCAAUAUCAAUCAAUUUGCGAUUUCCAAUCGAUAACGAAAAUGAUCAAACUGAGAACAUUUCUGGUUGGUGGCAAGUUUUUGAAUCAGAUUUUGGAAGUUAUCACAAUUUUUAAAUGUUAAACUGGAAAUGAAGUGUGGGUUAUGUUAUUUUUAUCAUAACGCAUUUCUCUGUCACGCUAUUUUUCUCACACAAGUAUAAAACUUGACGUAAUUCCUCAGCUACUUGUUCAAAUGUUGUUGUCGUCAACUACUAGAAAGUCUUGUUUUUUAGGAACUUGAUGCUAUUGAAAACGGUCGUGUGUAAAUUCAUGAUCAAUAAAUACACAUAUUAUAGUCUAAUAGGAGCAACUGGUGCGCUCGACUUGUUAUUAUGAAUAUAAAUGGUACAUUUACCCAGAAGUAUAAAGUGCGAUUUUUAUUGGCAGGUUUAUUAUGUCUCCUAUAGGUGCACAAAUGUGCUGCACUACUUUGAUAUAAACGUUGCCGACGAACAUAAUAGUGUGUGCUUGUACCUUUAUGCAGAGAUCGAUAGCCGUUUUUGUUGUUAAAAUGCAAAAUAGAGAUCGUGGGAAAUUACACGGUGGAAUACCGAGAAGAACUAUUUUAUUAUCCAGUGUUGUAUUUACAACCGAGAAAGUUUAUAUAAAGCAAUUUUAUGAAAUUCAAAUCAUUCAAGAGACAAAAAAAAAUAACCACAAAUCUGAUUGGGUUUAACGAAGAAAAUUUUAGACAACUAACCGUGUAAUUAAUUUAUAUUGGUACAGUUUUGAACUACUUGAUAAUUUAACUUAUAGUGACUAAAGUUCCAUUUCCAAAAUAAUAUAAUUUAUUUUAAUAUUAUAUAUAGCGGUACUUUUGUUUUCAGAAUUGUAUGGCUAUUCAAUAUAUAAGUAUGAAAGUUGUGUUAAGUGCUUAUAAAGAAUUUAUGCGUCAAAAAUA